rnacentral:ncRNA from 2 species
GACGAAGGGGGCUAGCGUUGUUCGGAAUUACUGGGCGUAAAGCGCGUGCAGGCGGCUGCCAAAGUCGGGUGUGAAAGCCUUGAGCUCAACUCAAGAAUUGCACUCGAUACUUGGUGGCUAGAGGACCGGAGAGGAUAGUGGAAUUCCCAGUGUAGUGGUGAAAUACGUAGAGAUUGGGAAGAACACCAGUGGCGAAGGCGGCUAUCUGGACGGUUUCUGACGCUGAGACGCGAAAGCGUGGGGAGCAAACAGG